rnacentral:rRNA from 1 species
UACAGAGGUCUCAAGCGUUGUUCGGAUUCAUUGGGCGUAAAGGGUGCGUAGGUGGCGCGGUAAGUCGGGUGUGAAAUCUCGGAGCUUAACUCCGAAAUUGCAUUCGAUACUGCCGUGCUCGAGGACUGGAGAGGAGACUGGAAUUCAUGGUGUAGCAGUGAAAUGCGUAGAGAUCAUGUGGAAGACCAGUGGCGAAGGCGGGUCUCUGGACAGUUCCUGACACUGAGGCACGAAGGCCAGGGGAGCAAACGGG